GCUGUUAUAGCUCAGGCGGCAGAGCACUUCCUUGGUAAGGAAGAGGUCGCCGGUUCGAACCCGGCUAACAGCUCCA
rnacentral:tRNA from 1 species